rnacentral:rRNA from 1 species
GAUGACCGCUGGCGGCGUGCCUAAUACAUGCAAGUCGAGCGAACGGACGAGAAGCUUGCUUCUCUGAUGUUAGCGGCGGACGGGUGAGUAACACGUGGAUAACCUACCUAUAAGACUGGGAUAACUUCGGGAAACCGUAGCUAAUACCGGAUAAUAUUUUGAACCGCAUGGUUCAAAAGUGAAAGACAGUCUUGCUGUCACUUAUAGAUGGAUCCGCGCUGCAUUAGCUAGUUGGUAAGGUAACGGCUUACCAAGGCAACGAUGCAUAGCCGACCUGAGAGGGUGAUAGGCCACACUGGAACUGAGACACGGUCCAGACUCCUACGGGAGGCAGCAGUAGGGAAUCUUCCGCAAUGGGCGAAAGCCUGACGGAGCAACGCCGCGUGAGUGAUGAAGGUCUUCGGAUCGUAAAACUCUGUUAUUAGGGAAGAACAUAUGUGUAAGUAACUGUGCACAUCUUGACGGUACCUAAUCAGGAAGCCACGGCUAACUACGUG